rnacentral:rRNA from 1 species
UGCGGUUCUUGAGUGUGGUCAAGGCAGGCGGAAUGUGUAAUGUAGCGGUGAAAUGCUUAGAGAUUACACAGAACACCGAUUGCGAAGGCAGCUUGCUGGGCCAUUACUGACGCUCAUGCACGAAAGCGUGGGGAUCAAACAGGAUUAGAUACCCUGGUAGUCCACGCUGUAAACGAUGAUCACUAGCUGUUGGCGAUAUACAGUCAGUGGCAAAGCGAAAGCAUUAAGUGAUCCACCUGGGGAGUACGGCCGCAAGGUUGAAACUCAAAGGAAUUGACGGGGGCCCGCACAAGCGGAGGAACAUGUGGUUUAAUUCGAUGAUACGCGAGGAACCUUACCUGGGCUUAAAUGCAGAGUGCAUUGGUGUGAAAGCAUCAUUUUCUUCGGAACUUUCUGCAAGGUGCUGCAUGGUUGUCGUCAGCUCGUGCCGUGAGGUGUCGGGUUAAGUCCCAUAACGAGCGCAACCCUUAUCGUUAGUUGCCAGCGGGUAAAGCCGGGGACUCUAACGAAACUGCCGGUGUAAACCGAGAGGAAGGUGGGGAUGACGUCAAAUCAGCACGGCCCUUAUGUCCAGGGCUACACACGUGUUACAAUGGCCGGUACAGAGGGCAGCUACCUGGAGACAGGAUGCGAAUCUCGAAAGCCGGUCUCAGUUCGGAUCGGAGUCUGCAACCCGACUCCGUGAAGCUGGAUUCGCUAGUAAUCGCGCAUCAGCCAUGGCGCGGUGAAUACGUUCCCGGGCCUUGUACACACCGCCCGU